UGCCCUGAGGUUUAACUAUCGAAUUCGGUAUGUGAACUUAUACGAUUGUAAACAGGACUUGUAUAAUAACAACGCCCCCCGGGCGAUCCCUUGAAAAUUCUUAGGGAAGGUUAAUGACAACCCAUAAUGUUAACACUUUCCCGAAAAAGGAUACAGUAAAAAUCUAGAAAGCCUCGUGUAUCGUCGCCGGCGAACGACUUAUGUUGUUAUUUGACAACUACAGAGGGCUCAGAGCAAAUGAUCUAAAUCAAUUGAAA